AGAAACGGAAAGAUUUCUUUUGAAAUUUGGCUAAUGAAUCUUCUGUAAUGCUAUUAUGAGGAUUGCCCUUUGAGGUUUAUAGCAAUAGGUCGCCCCUAUGGUUAGCCACAUGUUUUCUU
rnacentral:sRNA from 2 species